GAGAGGCAUCCACAAUGGGGGAAACCCUGAUGGUGCGACGCCGCGUGGGUGAUGAAGGUUUUCGGAUCGUAAAACCCUUUCAGCAGGGACGAAUGUAUCCGGUGUUAAUACCAUCGGAUAAGAGACUGUACCUGAAGAAGAAGCUCCGGCUAACUCCGUGCCAGCAGCCGCGGUAAGACGGGGGGAGCAAGCGUUGUUCGGAUUUACUGGGCGUAAAGGGCGUCUAGGCGGAGUAGCAAGUCAGGUGUGAAAGCCCACGGCUCAACCGUGGAAUUGCACUUGAAACUGCUAUUCUUGAGUACGGAAGAGGAAAGCGGAAUUCCUGGUGUAGCGGUGAAAUGCGUAGAUAUCAGGAAGAACACCGGUGGCGAAGGCGGCUUUCUGGUCCGAUACUGACGCUGAAGCGCGAAAGUGUGGGGAGCAAACAGGAUUAGAUACCCCCGUAGUC
rnacentral:rRNA from 1 species